rnacentral:rRNA from 1 species
UACGAACCGUCCAAACGUUACUCGGAAUCACUGGGCUUAAAGGGUGCGUAGGCUGCGCGGAGGGUGGGAUGUGAAAUCCCCCGGCUCAACCGGGGAAUAGCGUCCCAAACCGCCGUGCUCGAGGGAGACAGAGGUGAGCGGAACUGAUGGUGGAGCGGUGAAAUGCGUUGAUAUCAUCAGGAACAUCAGUGGCGAAGGCGGCUCACUGGGUCUUUCCUAACGCUGAGGCACGAAAGCUAGGGGAGCGAACGGG